rnacentral:ncRNA from 1 species
UAUAUUCCAAUGAUGGUGAAGAGUAAUAUAGAUCACACAUGAUCAGAGAAGAAGUGUCUUAGGCUGCAAACACUUCUGCAUGUGCCCAUAUGAACGAACACACCGUAGGUUUCGCCCUGAAAAAACGUUAGUUUCUAGUAGGGGAUGAACGUUAAACAGGCGUUAACUGUAAAAGUGGGAGCUUUUUAUGCUCCAACUAGGGUGGCACCGCGGGUAACAACUCCCGUCCCUUGC